rnacentral:sRNA from 1 species
CUGGUUCCGUGCUUAAAGAAACAAGUCGAACGGUGAAGCCCUUCGGGGUGGAUCAGUGGCGUACCGGUGAGUAACACGUGAGCAACCUGCCCCUGACUCUGGGAUAACUACCGGAAACGGUGGCUAAUACCGGAUAUGACAUGCCCGGGCAUCUGGGUGUGUGGAAAGUUUUUCGGUUGGGGAUGGGCUCGCGGCCUAUCAGCUUGUUGGUGGGGUGAUGGCCUACCAAGGCGACGACGGGUAGCCGGCCUGAGAGGGCGACCGGCCACACUGGGACUGAGACACGGCCCAGACUCCUACGGGAGGCAGCAGUGGG